rnacentral:rRNA from 1 species
UCGGGAAUUUUGGGCAAUGGGCGAAAGCCUGACCCAGCAACGCCGCGUGAGGGAUGAAGUAUUUCGGUAUGUAAACCUCGAAAGAAUGGGAAGAAUAAAUGACGGUACCAUUUAUAAGCUCCGGCUAACUACGUGCCAGCAGCCGCGGUAAUACGUAGGGAGCAAGCGUUGUUCGGAUUUACUGGGCGUAAAGGGCGCGUAGGCGGCGCGGUAAGUCACUUGUGAAAUCUCUGAGCUUAACUCAGAACGGCCAAGUGAUACUGCUGUUCUAGAGUGCGGAAGAGGCAACCGGAAUUCUUGGUGUAGCGGUGAAAUGCGUAGAUAUCAAGAGGCACACCUGAGGCGAAGGCGGGUUGCUGGGCCGACACUGACGCUGAUGCGCGAAAGCCAGGGGAGCAAACG